UUGUGUGUGUUAUUGAGCCAGACUUCACCUUAACUUACCCGACACUUCCAAAAGAAGAAUGACGGCCGGUUAAACAGAUGAGAUGGGUCUGCGGAGUUUGUCAGCUAUUAAAACUGUCCUCUAGACCGGUAUAGACCAUUUUAAAUGUUAUUUCCUUGUGCUUUGCUAUGAUCGACACCAAUAUCUCACCGUUCUGUGUGUUAAACUCUCAGCGGUCUUGCUGUAGGAAGGAAGCAGGAGAGGAAAGGGACUGACUGCGCACUGCUGGCCCACUAAACACACACUCAUCGGGGACUUCACUUAAAAGGGCAAGACUGUUUUGCAACAUACUUGAUAGCCACAUAAAUGCUCUUAUUUUAAAAAACACAGUCCGUUAUCAGUAUUAAUAGUAAUCGGAUAUAUCGAAGACUAUGUGAAGUCGUUAUUGUUUGAAUAUUACAGUUUGUUUUUCGUGCAAAGGAUUGUUUUUCUUGCAUUUUUUGCUGAUCGAUCAUAAUCGAUCACACAUCAGCCGGCAUCGAUCAUGGCUACAGAUGUAAUAGCGACUGAAGAAAUCUCAAACCAGAGAGACUCGAGUGAUCUGAACGCUAACAAAAGUAAUCCCGAAUCAGACACACCCAGCCGGACAUCUGAGACGCAAGAAAACAGAAAUAUAAGUAGCCCAUUAUCGUUAUCAUCAUCCUCAUCGGUUUACUCUGAGGAAGAACUACCUCAGGACCCCAUAACAGGGAAUUCGCUGGAGAAUGGAGCCGGUCCGGUCCGAGCAGGAGAUCCGCCGCAGGAAGCAGCGACUCCAGACAAUAGACAAAAACAAGGCGUGAGGACUUCAACUCCUGUGCGCGCGCCCCAAACACUCUCUUCAGCAGCUGAGCACAAUGGAAGUUUUGAGCACCAGGAGUCAGUUGCUACGACAGAGGCGCGGCUGAGAAUGGAAGGGGUGGAGCUAAAGGAGGAGUGGCAAGAUGAGGACUUCCCCAGGCCACUCCCAGAAGAGGAAGAUAUGCAUCUUGAUGAGGAGCUUUACACUUCUGGUGAAGGAGCACCUGCUUCACAGUCUUAUGGACUUAACAGUGCAAAGAAAACCAAAAAGAAGCUUUUGGCUCCGGACAUCAGCCUAAACCUAGACCACAGUGAGGGUUCAGUCCUGUCAGAUGAGCUGGAUGAGAGCACAGAACUGGACCUGGACGAUAUAGACACCCCUUCAGACAACAGCAACGAGUUUGAGUGGGAAGAUGACCUCCCAAAACCCAAAAACGCAGACCUGCUGCGUAAAGGAGUGGAGUCGGUGCGGGAGUUCACGAGCACAGAGGAACGGGAGGAGGGCCGUCGCUGGAGAGUCUUCCGCAUCGGAGAACAGGAGCACCGGGUGGACAUGAAGGCCAUUGAGCCUUACAAGAGGGUUAUCAGCCAUGGAGGUUACUAUGGCGAUGGACUGAAUGCCAUUAUCGUCUUUGCUGUUUGCUUUAUGCCUGAGAGCAAUCAACCAAAUUACAGAUAUAUCAUGGACAAUCUUUUCAAGUAUGUCAUAGGAACUCUAGAGCUUCUUGUAGCUGAGAACUAUAUGAUUGUAUACCUGAAUGGAGCCACUUCACGCCGAAAGAUGCCCAGUGUGGGCUGGCUCAGAAAAUGCUAUCAGCAAAUAGAUCGAAGGUUAAGGAAGAAUUUGAAGUCUUUGAUAAUAGUGCACCCGUCCUGGUUUAUUCGCACCCUCCUGGCCCUCACAAAACCUUUUAUAAGCUCAAAAUUUAGCCAGAAAAUCAAGUAUGUGUACAGCCUGACAGACCUUGCUGAGCUUGUCCCGAUGGAGUAUGUUUCCAUACCAGACUGCAUUAAACAGUUUGACGAAGAAAAAAAUAGGAAAAAACAUAAAAGGUAUCUGUAUUUUCAUUCCGGAGAUCCCUGUCGUAUCUCUGUUGACCUUGCCUGAAUUGCACGACACUAACAAUUAAUCGUUUGGCUUUUACACCUAUACUUGGUCACUGGACCAGAAGUUGCUUUUUGAGCUGCUUCCUUGAUUGUCAUCAAGAUGCUAAAUUCCUUCUGUGUGCCAUCUAACUAUAAUCAUUUGUUGUAAAUGCAGCUGUUUUGCACUUUAACCUUUUAAAUUGAGCACAAUUUGUCACUUAAUUCAAAAGCAGACGUGUUGACUUGCUCUGAAAUUCAGCAUUGACCUUUUAUUAUUAAAUCCACUGAGGCAAGCAGUAAUUCCUGUAGUUUUUGUCCUAUUGCUAUUGCAGUUUCAGUUUUCUUGCUGUGUUCACCAUAAAAAAAUACAAACCAUCCAAAGCAGUUAAAAUGCAUUCAAGUUUUUAUUAUUUAUUAAAUAAAUAAAAUAAUACAUAAAUAAUCAUUUCAUUUUAUAAAAAACUAAAAACACUGAAAUAAAAAUGUACAUUGGGGUUCAAAGGACUAGAUAUUAUUUUAUUUAAUUUGAGGAAAAAAGUGACUUGUCAAGGUAUGUUGUAAAAUGAAUAAGAAAAAAAGAUAAUGUAAGAAGUUAUUCACUUUAUUUACAAAAUUAUAUUGAAUACGUAUACAUUUUAUAUGUAAAUGUAUAAAAAGACAAAGAUUAUUAUACUUUUUAAAAAAUUUUGUUAGAACACUUAUUUAACUCUAAUUCAAUAAAUCUCUUGCUUUUACUUCACAUUUUUGAGUCUGCAGUGAAUUUUGGGUCUGCCAAAUUAGGCCAGCGAUGCUACUCUAGAUCUGAAUCAGUUAUUAAUUUCAUUCAGGUUUUUGGCCAAAUGCGCUAACUUGUUUGUGUUUGAAAUGAACGUCUCGCAGAUUUAGAUUCUGACGUUGUGUCCUCUCAGUUCUGCCGAUGUUAGUAUAUAUGAAUUGACCAGGACGUGCGUGGAAAGGUGGAGAUGGCCACCGCUGCAGUGCCAGAGUGAGUUAGAAGAGCUGAAGAGAGAAGCUGGAAGAAUCAAAGAAUGUAUUUGAUUUCUUUUAACUGGAGAACUCAAGAUCUUGAUGUCAGAAAAGUGCCUUUUAAAGGAAUAGUUCACCACAAAAUUAAAAUUCUGCCAUUUACUUUCUCUCAUGUCAUUGCAAAUCCAUAUGACAUUUUCUGUGGAACACAAAAUGAGACAUUUAGCAGAAUGUCCAAGCUGCUCUUUUUGAUAGCCGUGGUCCCCUUUCACUUUCAUUGAAAGCUUGUAGAUUCUGCUAAACAUCUUCUUUUGUGCACCACGCAACAGUCAUACAGAUUUGGAACGACGUGCGGGCGAGUAAAUAAUGACAGAAUGUUUAGUCUUGGGUGAACUGUCCCUUUAAAGCUUCAACUGCCUGUUACGCUAUGUGACUUUUUUUCCUUCUUGUCGCAUUUGUGUGCCAAACACUUGUCAGAUGGCAUCUGAUUUCUGCGUUAAACAUUUUAAUAACCUUUUAUAUGUAUCAUUUCAAUAAGUAGAUAUUGUCAACAUGUUCUAGUUCCAAUUGUAUCUUGCUCUUAGUUAAGGCACUCCGUUUUUCGAACUAGUCGAUGCAUGUACUGCGUUACAUUUAAAUAUCUAUAUUUAUAUCAAAAGGCGAUAAAGGAGAAAGAUUAAUAUAUUUUUAUGACUGAAAUGUUAUUUUUAGGGCCACAGUUUGCCAUUGUUUGUCUUCUGCUCACUGGACAUCUCAUAGUUAUAUCACGUAUUGUUUACUGCUGAUUUGGUGUAUGAUUCGAGAUCGUGGAGAAAUGUACAAAGGAAUUAAGCAAAAAUGUAUAGCCCCAGUAACAUUUCUUCAGUUCACUUUCAUUAAUGGUUUAGGAGGGUGGGGUUCUUGUAUGUUAUGUUC